rnacentral:rRNA from 1 species
CAAUGGGGGAAACCCUGAUCCAGCAAUGCCGCGUGAGUGAAGAAGGCCUUCGGGUUGUAAAGCUCUUUCAUCAAUGAUGAUAAUGACAUUAGUUGAAGAAGAAGCCCCGGCUAACUUCGUGCCAGCAGCCGCGGUAAUACGAAGGGGGCUAGCGUUGUUCGGAAUCACUGGGCGUAAAGCGUAUGUAGGCGGAUCAAAAAGUUAGAUGUGAAAUCCCUGGGCUCAACCCAGGAACUGCAUUUAAAACUAGUGAUCUAGAAUUUGGUAGGGGUUAGUAGAAUUUCCAGUGUAGAGGUGAAAUUCGUAGAUAUUGGAAAGAAUACCAGUGGCGAAGGCGACUAACUGGGCCAUUUUUGACGCUGAGAUACGAAAGCGUGGGUAGCAAACAGGAUUAGAUACCCUGGUAGUCCACGCAGUAAACGAUGAGUGCUAGUCGCUGGGACAUUAGUUUCAGUGUCGAAGCUAACGCAUUAAGCACUCCGCCUGGGAAGUACGGUCGCAAGAUUAAAACUCAAAUAAAUUGACGGGGGCCCGCACAAGCGGUGGAGCAUGUGGUUUAAUUCGAAGCAACGCGAAGAACCUUACCAGACCUUGACAUGGUAUGUAUGAAUUACAGAAUCGUAAUUCUUCAGUUCGGCUGGCAUACACACAGGUGCUGCAUGGCUGUCGUCAGCUCGUGUCGUGAGAUGUUGGGUUAAGUCCCGCAACGAGCGCA